CCUACGGGUGACAGCAGUGAGGAAUAUUGGUCAAUGGACGCAAGUCUGAACCAGCCAUGCCGCGUGCAGGAAGACGGCUCUAUGAGUUGUAAACUGCUUUUGUACGAGGGUAAACGCAGAUACGCGUAUCUGUCUGAAAGUAUCGUACGAAUAAGGAUCGGCUAACUCCGUGCCAGCAGCCGCGGUAAUACGGAGGAUUCAAUCGUUAUCCGGAUUUAUUGGGUUUAAAGGGUGCGUAGGCGGUCGGAUAAGUUAGAGGUGAAAUCCCGAGGCUCAACUUCGGAAUUGCCUCUGAUACUGUUCGGCGAGAGAGUAGUUGCGGUAGGCGGAAUGUAUGGUGUAGCGGUGAAAUGCUUAGAGAUCAUACAGAACACCGAUUGCGAAGGCAGCUUACCAAGCUACUUCUGACGUUGAGGCACGAAAGCGUGGGGAGCAAACAGGAUUAGAUACCCCAGUAGUC
rnacentral:rRNA from 1 species